rnacentral:rRNA from 1 species
GACGAACGCUGGCGGCGUGCUUAACACAUGCAAGUCGAACGGAAAGGCCCUGCUCUUGUUGCGUGCUCGAGUGGCGAACGGGUGUGUAACACGCGUGUAACCUGCCCUUGACUUUGGGAUAACUUCAGGAAACUCGGGCUAAUAUCGGAUAGGCGCUCCUGCUGCAUGGUGUGGGUUGGAAAGUUUCGGCGGUUGGGGAUGGGCUCGCGGCUUAUCAGCUUGUUGGUGGGGUAGUGGCUUACCAAGGCUUUGACGGGUAGCCGGCCUGAGAGGGUGACCGGCCACAUUGGGACUGAGAUACGGCCCAGACUCCUACGGGAGGCAGCAGUGGGGAAUAUUGCACAAUGGGCGGAAGCCUGAUGCAGCAACGCCGCGUGCGGGAUGACGGCCUUCGGGUUGUAAACCGCUUUCGCCUGUGACGAAGCGAGAGUGACGGUAAUGGGUAAAGAAGCACCGGCUAACUACGUG